rnacentral:rRNA from 1 species
UACAGAGGUCUCAAGCGUUGUUCGGAUUCAUUGGGCGUAAAGGGUGCGUAGGUGGCGCCGUCAGUCGGGUGUGAAAUUUCGGAGCUUAACUCCGAAACUGCAUUCGAUACUGCGGUGCUUGAGGACUGGAGAGGAGACUGGAAUUCAUGGUGUAGCAGUGAAAUGCGUAGAGAUCAUGAGGAAGACCAGUGGCGAAGGCGGGUCUCUGGACAGUUCCUGACGCUGAGGCACGAAGGCCAGGGGAGCAAACGGG